CUGUCAAUUGAUCCAAAGUUUAAAUGUAUUUUAGUAGCUGCUUAAUAAAGGACAUUGACCUAUUGCCAUAGCAUCUAUCCUUUUCGGUUUCUUAUUUUUCAAUAUUGAUUAACUUAUUCCUAAUAUCAAACAACUAUGUGACAUAUUUUAGUCUUCUCAGGGAAACAUAACAAAUGAAACUAUAUUAAGUGCAGGAGGUAAAAGCAGGUUCCCAUCAAUGAACAAUGAAGGAGAUAUUCUCACUGGUUUCCAAGAUCAAACCAAAGUGGUUUCCAAGAUCAAACCAAACCCCACAACCAUAUAAUUUACCACUGAUGGUGACAACAGAGGAUUUUAUUUAAUUUCAGCUGCUUCACUUGAAGUCAUCAUCUAGAUUUAAUAUUUGAUAAGAAAAAUGUAAUUCAGCAGAAUGUUUUCUCUCCUUCAAUGACUCAGUAGACAUUUCAGUGCCUACUCACCACAAAAAAGAGUGGUUUAACAAAGAACAGCCAUCAGAAGCUACCUAUUCCCUUAUAAUUAUACUGAGCAGAAAGGACUCUUUUUUUAGGAUAUGUUGCCAAGUAAUUAAUGAAGAUGACAAAUUGAAGACAAUUUUCUGGUUCUUGUCUUAAUAACAACUUGACUUUUGUUUUCACAACCCAAUGAUGCUGCGUAAAAUAAAACCAACAGACAGACAGAGAAUUAGGGCAACGCUAGGUUGCUUUUGUCCAUGAAAAAUAUUUAGGAAAAUGCUUCAUUUUUAUCUUGUCCUUCAUUCUGUCUCCUCCAUCCAUACAUGAAUUCAGUUUUAGAUAACUAAAUAGUAUUCAUUUUAAAUAUAUGCAGGAGUCCCCUGGCGGACUAGUGGUUAAGCAUCCAGCAUUGUCAGUGCUGUGGCUCCAGUCACUACAGUGGCAUGGGUUCAGUCCCUAGCCCAGAAAUUUCUUCAUGCUGUGGAUGUAGCCCAAACCAAAACAAACAAACAAACAAAAAAUGAAAGAUCACGGGGAGAGAGGAACUCAGCCCCCAGCUGUACACAAAUGAUUACAAUCUUGGUGUAAUAAGCCUAGGUGAUACCAGCAAGGGAUCCAUUCAGGUAAGGCCAGCACAAUUGCAGAACUGAACCAAGAAAUAGUUGUUGUAUGCCACUAAGUUUCAAAGUGGUUAGCUAUUUAGCAACAGAUAAUAGAUAAACUUCCUAUAAGUGAAUAUAAUUAAAUACAACAGAGAUAAAUGGGGGGAACUGCCUUGAGUCAAAUUAUCAGCUGCCUAGAAAUAUGAGAGCAUAACCUACUUAGAUAAAAGAUGACCAACAAAAUGGGGUUUUGAUUAAUCACAAGUGUGGAAAACACUAUUAAAAUGUCCACCCAAUAGCCAUUGUCUUUCUUUUUUGCUAUCAGAACCAUAAAUAUAUUUGUGUAUAAAAGUGAUCAAACACUUUUAACAUGUGCUUUCAAUUCUUUUUUUUUAAACAAUGAAGUAUUGAAGUAUAGUCAAUUUACAAUGUUGUAUUAGUUUCUGUAUUAGUUGUAUUAGGUUCAAUGCUGUAUGAUUAGACUCAUACAGCAAAAUAAUUCAAUGUAUAUUCUUUUUCAUAUUCUUUCCCAUUAGGGUUUAUGAUGGGAUAUUCAAUAUAUUUUCCUGAGCUAUACAGUAGGACUUUGUUGUUUAUCCAUGCUAAAUGUAAUAGUAUGCCUCUGCUAACCCCAAACUCCCAGUCCAUCCAUCUCCCUCCUCCCUCCUCCCCCUUGGCAACCACAAAUCUGUUCUCUAUGUCUGUGAUGAGUUUGUUUUCUGUUUUGUAGAUAGGUUCAUUUGUGUCAUAUUUUAGAUUCCAUAUGUAACUGAUAUAUACAGUAUUUGCCUUUCUCUUUCUGACUUACUUCACUUAGCACGGUAGUUUCUAGGUCCGUCCAUGUUGCUACAAAUGGCAUUAUUUCAUUCUUUGUUUAUGUGUGAGUAGUAUUUCAUUGUAUAUAUGUACCACUCAUCUCUUGAUGGACACUUAGGUUGCUUCCAUGUCUUUUUUUGUUUGUUUGUUUGUUUGGGUCACACCCAUGGCCUGUGGAGCUUCGCAGACUAGGGGUUGAAUAAGAGCUACAGCUGCUGGCUUAUGCCACAGCCACAGCCACAGCCACAGCAAUAUGAGAUCUGAACCAUGUCUGUGACCUACACUAUAGGUCAUGGCAACACUGCACCCUUAACCCACUGAGCAAGGUCAGGGAUCAAACCAGUGUCCUCAUGGAUGCUAAUCAGGUUUGUUAACCCUGAGCCAUGAUAGGAACUCCUUCCAUGUCUUAGCUAUCAUAAAAAGUGCUGCCGGGAGUUCCAGUUGUGGCUCAGUGGGUUAAGGACUCAGUGUUGUCUCCGUGAGGAUGCAGGUUUAAUCCCUAGCCUCACUCAGUGGGUUAAGGAUCCUGCAUUGCCACAAGCUGUGGUGUAGGCCGCAGCUGUAGCUCUGAUUCAACCCUUAGACCAGGAACUUCCAAAUGCAGCAGAUGCAGUCAUGAAAAAGAAAAAAAGAAGAAAAAAUAGUGCUGCUAUGAACGCUGGGGUGUGUUAUCUUUUUGAAUGAGAAUUUUCUCCAGGUAAAUGCCCAGGAGGGGUAUUUCUGUUCAAAUGGCAACUCUAUUUUUAGGUGUUUUUUGGUUUGUUUUCGUUUUUUAUUUUGAGGAGCUUUUUUGCUGCAACAGGGGCAUUCAGAAGUUCCCAGGCCAGGGAUUGAACCCACGCCACAUCAGUGACCUAAGAAGCAGCAGUAACAAUGCCAGAUCCUUAAUUCACUAGGCCACCAGGGAACUCCUCUUUUUAGUGUUGUAAGGAAACUCCAUAGUAUUUUCCAUAAUGGCUGCACCAAUUUACAUUCCCACCAACAGUGCAGGAGGGUUCCUUUUUCUCCACACCCUCUCCAGCAUUUGUUAUUUGCUAACUUUAUUUAUUUAUUUUUUUUAAGUUCUCUUUUGUCUUUUUUAGGGCCAAACCCAUGGCAUACGGAGGUUCCCAGGCUAGGGGUCUAAUUGGAGCUGUAGCCACUGGCCUACGCCACGGCCACAGCAACGCCAGAGCUGAGCCACAUCUGUGACCUACACAACAGCUCAUGGCAACACCAGAUCCUUAACCCACUGAUCAAGGCCAGGUAUCGAACCCGAAACCCCAUGGUUCCUAGUUGGAUUCGUAUCCGCUGCGCCACAACGGGAACUCCUAUUCGUAGACUUUAAUGAUGGCUAUUCUGACUGGUGUGAGGUGGUGCCUCGUAGUUUGGAUUUUCAUUUCUCUAAUAAUUAGUGAUGUUGAGCAUUUUUUUCAUGUGCCUGUUAGUCAUCUAUGUCUGUUUUUAGAAAUGUCUAUUUAGCUCUUUUGCCUGCAUAAACUAUUUAUUAACAAGCAGCACCGACACAUUUAUUUUUUCUUGGACACACCCACAGUACGGCCACGGAGGCCUGUGGUCUUGGUGUGACGGCCUUGGACAUGCAGUCCCCAGAAGUGAGGACGCAGUCUCCUUCAGUCACUCCAGGUCUUCACGGAGUUUGUUAUCCAGACCGUUGGCCAGGACCUGGCUGUACUUCCCAUCCUUCAUGUCCCUCUGUCUAUUUAAGAACCAGCCUGGGAUCUUGUAUUGGCGUGGAUUCUGCAUAAUGGCGAUUACACGUUUCACCUCAUCCUCUGUGAGCACUCCUGCCCUCUUGGUGAGGUCGAUGUCUGCUUUCCUCAGCACCACAUGAGCAUAUCUCCGUCCUACACCCUUAAUCACAGUGACAGCAAAGGCAAUUUUCCGCUGCCAUCGAGUACUCACAAAAUAUGCUGGAACUUCUUAGGGAUUUCUAGAGACAUGGCUGCAGCACUGGUGGCGUGUAGGCCUCCAGUGAAAGAGCCUUUUGCCUAUUUUUUUAGUUGAGUUGUUUGUUUUUGUUAUUGAGUUGUAUGAGCUGCUUGCAUAUUUUGAAAAUUAAGCCCUUGUCAGCACAUCAUUUGCAAUAUUUUCUCCCAAUCUAUAGGUUGUCUUUUCAUUUUGUUUAUGGUUUCCUUUGCCAUGCAAAAGCUUAUAAGUUGGUUUUCUGGUUGUUGGGGUUUUUUUGUUUUUUUGGUUUUUAUUUGUUUGUUUGUUUGUUUUGUUUUGCUUUGCUUUUUAGGGCUGCACUCAAAGCAUAUAGAAGUUCCCAGGCUAGGGGUCUAAUUGGAGCUGCAGCUGCCAACCUACCCCACAGCCACAGCAAUGCUAGAUCUGAGCCAUAUCUGCAACCUACACCACAGCUCACAGCAAUGCUAGAUCCUUAACCACCUGAGCAAGGCCAGGGAUCAAACCCACAUCCUCAUGGAUACUAGUCGGGUUCGUUACUACUAAGCCAUGAUGGGAACUACAAAAGUUUAAAAGUUUAAGUCCCAUUUGUUUAUUUUUGCUUUUAUUCCUAUUUUCUUGGGAAACUGAGUGGUCAACUACUUUAUACUCCAAAUCCCAGGAAGUGAAUCUUGAUUAGUUUACAUCAACUAUGGCAGUUCCCUUUCUCUUGCUUGCGAUUGGUUUAAGAAUAUGCAUUCAAAACAAUUCUGGCCAAAAUGACAUGGGGGUGAAUUUUCUAGCAAUAUGUAGGAAAGAUUUAUUUUGACCUUAAAAAUGGUGUCCAGGAGUUCCCAUCUUGGCUCAGUGGUUAACGAAUCUGAUUAGGAACCAUGAGGUUUCUGGUUCGAUCCCUGGCCUUGCUCAGUGGGGUAAGGAUCUGGCGUUGCUGUGAGCUGUGGUGUAGGUCCAGAUGCAGCUCGGAUCCGGCAUUGCUGUGGCUGUGGCAUAGGCCGGCAGCUGUAGCUCUGAUUGAACCCCUAGCCUGGGAACCUCCAUAUGCUGCAGGAGCGGCCUUAGAAAAGG
rnacentral:lncRNA from 1 species